GCGUUAACAGAAAAUAAUUACUUAAAUUUAGUAUGUAGUAUUUUUAUGAAGAACCCUUUUCAGGUCAAGGCCUCCUCCAGAGAAAUCCAUUUUGUUCUAUCUUUGGCUUUGAGCAUCCAGUUUGGUCCCGCCACUUUUUUUAUGUCAUCGUCCCAACGAUAAUGCGGCCUUCCUCUACCACGUGUGCCUUUUGGGCCUGGCCAGCUCGUUACUCUCUUUGUCCACCGGUUGUCUGUGA